rnacentral:lncRNA from 1 species
GCUCGGUGACACCGGGGACACACAACACGGGCGAGCGGCCGCGGCUGGAGCAACAAAGGAGCCGAGGACCGAGAAGAAUGAAGCACAGGUUGUGAGCGGUCAUCCAUUCCGUAUCUUCAUUGCAGCUGAGAAAACCAAGUCCCAGCAGGGCUAAGCCAUUUGUUUAAAGUGAACUGGGAGUUUGUGCCAAGCUGGUGAGGAAGCUGUCCUGGAAAUAAGACAGCCAGGCUAGUAGUAGGGUGAAUGGGGGUGCUGCCUUCCCUGUGUGGCUGGACAGCUGCACUGGGAGUCAGGAAGCCACUGUGACUUUGGAAAGUCACUUAACUUUUCUGGGCCUCUGGGGGUUUUGUGUGUGUGUGUGUGUGUGUGUGUUUUUUUGUUUGUUUGUUUGUUUGUUUUU